GGUUCACUCCCUGUUAAAUCUUUAGAGGGCAAGGAGGCUGAUCACUACAAUGGUGAACAACUUUGAAGUCAUAUUCAGUAAUCCAGAAACUUGUGCUGUAAAAAGCAUGGAAGUGGCAAGCAUUCGUAGCUCAGACUGUGUACUUCUACGGGAAGGUGAGAUAGCCACUGUGAGCCUCCCUUUUCCAAUGUGCAGCAGUUUUGGGAAUGUCAGCCGGCACCAACAAGAUUAUUUCCGCCAUAGCUCCAACAGAGUCAGAUGGGCUGACCUGCAAAGAUGCUGAAGUCCUCCAGAAAACAGCAAUUUGUCAUUAAAUCUGAAGCCACAAUGUC